GUGAUACAAUAAAUUAUACAGAAACAUGUUAAAGAAGUUCAUGUUUUUCAUUUAUCAGUUUAGGUUUGAUUUUGGUUGUACUUUCGGUUUAACCUCAAUAAUAUGACUGCUGUUAACACUGUGUUGCAAUUAGUUCCUAUAUUUGCUGUAAAUCCUGCUUCAUUGGAUUGUUUUGUAGCUUUGUUGUUCAUUUAUUUUCUGUUUAGUUGUUGUUUUUAAAUGGCAAAUGGCCUGCAGUUGUAUCGGGCUUCAUCAAGUGCAAGGACUCCAAAGAGCUUUAUGCUACAUUUAGUCAUACACACACUCAGGCACUGAUGGUGAUGAGCUACACUGCAGCCACUGCUGCCCUGGGGCAGAUUGAAAGAAGCAAAGCUGCCAUAUUCACCAAGCCCUCUGACCACCACCUGCAGGCGAGGACUGCCUGGAUUGGUCCUUACUGAGUAACCAACCUCAACUCAACUUGUGUCUUCAGCACUUUUUUGCCUUUGUUCACACUGCUGGUGACGUGCUGGCAGGAAAAGGAGAAUCCUUGAGCUUGUCAAAGCAAUGGCACAAGUUGCUUCAUACACCAAAGAAGCAGCUUCAUCAUUAUCUAUCAUGGGAAACUGCAAAGUUGGUUCAUGAAGAUGUAACAUUAAAAAUCUAAUCCGUGAAAGGUCACUAGACUUUUCACAUGUUUGCUCCUAAAAGUAACCACAACAUAUGUAUAAAUACUCAUAUCUCAGUUUUUCUUUCAAGUUUUUUUUAUUUUGUAAUCUAACUAUUUGCUCUAAUAGGAAGGAGAGCUACUUUGAAACAACUAUAGUCAAAGCAUAAUCAAUUUGCUUCCACCUAGAUUAGUUAGUGAUACUUCAAUCUGUUCUCCAGUCAGCAAUUAGCAUGGCAUUGUAUAAAACUUCCUUCUUAACUUCCAAUCUGCUUUUUGUCCAAUUUAUCAGUCUGGCCUGCUUAGCAUUUAUGGAGGGCCAUUCAAGUUCCUGUGAUUACCUUCGGCGUCAUCUGAGCCGCUAUCUUGUCUUCUCUGUAGUGAAGCCAAAAAUGUGCAGGCACUGAAGGAGCACUAAUGGGCAGAAUUGUGAAUGGCCCAGAUGUCUGAGGACAAAAUUGGUGUAAGCUGACAGUUUAUUCAGGCAUUCAACAAUUACAGCCUCCAACUGAAAUAAAAGGUAACAUUUGGAAACUGCAUCUAGAUCUUAGCAAUAUAUCCCCUGGAGAUAUCCCCUCCAAUCCUUCCCCUAUGAAGUCUGGUUUCUGCCCAAAAGUUUCUGACUUUGGGCAGAAACUGUUCCACUGAGGGUAUGGGUAAAAUAAACUUUAAUAAUAAACUUUUAUGGAUUUUUGCAUUGGCAGUGUGUGCACACAUUGGUUGUUUGUCUUGUGUGGGAAAUUAGCACUUACUAUGCUCUUACUUAAUCUUCUGGGUUCACAUUAAACUUGAACCAACUAGUGUUUAUUCCAUACAAGUACAGUAUGUUUGAAAAGUGUGGUCACAGCUGAAUAAUUUUAGUGAAAACUAAGGUGGGGCUGUGGAUUAACUUUACCAAUAUGGAGCAGAAACUAUGACGAUCCUAUUUCUGAUGAUCAUCUUCUGAAAAAAAGCUUACUUUAUUACGUUUUCAUACUACUAGGAGUCGGUUGCAGACAGAGCCUUAAAAUUCAUCAAACAUCUCUUUGUGACAAACAUUUCUACCUCCAAUUGAAGCAGGCAAAACCAAUGCCUGCUUUUGGGGAAGUACCUGUGAAUACUGCAUUCAGGUAUUGGCUUUUAUUUUUGUACCUUCUAGCUAGUUUAAAACAACACUAUGUGAGAGAUGCUUCUUUAAGGUGUUAUGAUGAAAUCCAUGUUGGAAGGUUAGGUUCACAAAUCAUUUUAAGGCUUUAAAGAAAACUGCUUUGUUUUAUAGCUUGGAAGAAUAUGAAUCUAGAAUAUAAUAUAAUAAAACUGCAGUUCACAUCAACAUUAUGUCUUAAUUUCCUGAGAAACAAAAAUAAAACUUUUUUG